ACAGUUCGGUCCCUAUCUACCGUGGGCGCUGGAAAUUUGAGAGGAUCUGCUCCUAGUACGAGAGGACCAGAGUGGACGAACCUCUGGUGUACCGGUUGUGACGCCAGUCGCAUCGCCGGGUAGCUAUGUUCGGAAGGGAUAACCGCUGAAAGCAUCUAAGCGGGAAGCCUACCUCAAGAUAAGAUUUCCCCGUGACUUUAUGUCACCUAAAGAGCCGUUCAAGACCAGGACGUUGAUAGGUUGGAUGUGGAAGCAUAGUGAUAUGUGAAGCUGACCAAUACUAAUUGCUCGUGAGGCUUGACUAUACAACACCCAAACAGUUG
rnacentral:rRNA from 1 species